rnacentral:ribozyme from 12 species
GAAAGAAAAGAAAAGAGAAGAAAAGAAAAGAAACAUUCUUUGUUUGUUGUUUGUUGUUUAUUUGUUUGUUUGUUUGUUUGUGGUGAUGAUUAAAGAGGAGGAGGAGGAUAGUAAAUAAGGAGGAGGGCUUAAGAGGUGCAACACACAA